CAGUCGCCGCGGGAAUACGAAGGGGGCUAGCGUUGUUCGGAAUUACUGGGCGUAAAGCGCACGUAGGCGGAUUUUUAAGUCAGGGGUGAAAUCCCGAGGCUCAACCUCGGAACUGCCUUUGAUACUGGAGAUCUUGAGUUCGGAAGAGGUUGGUGGAACAGCUAGUGUAGAGGUGAAAUUCGUAGAUAUUAGCUAGAACACCAGUGGCGAAGGCGGCCAACUGGUCCGAUACUGACGCUGAGGUGCGAAAGCGUGGGGAGCAAACAGGAUUAGAUACCCCUGUAGUCCCUGUCUCUUAUAA
rnacentral:rRNA from 1 species